GAGGAAGAUGUAAAUCAAAAUUUAUUCCCCUUUUUCAGCCCUAACAAAAACUUUAAGCUAAAAUAAGACUAACUGUGAAAAAAUUUUGUUGAUAUCACGAAAAUUGAAUAUUUUAUAAGCAAAUCAAUAUGGGAACGCGCGAAAACUGAUAGCACCCCUGGAAUACGGGCGAUGACGUCACACCGCUCGUUGGGCAACGACGGACGGGCGGCGCGGGUGCUAGCUGCGCUCUGUAAACUUAUUUUCGUUCAUUUCGAUACAUUUUUUAUUUAUAUUAACCGUAUCUGAUGCCAACCAAAUAAUCUUCCGAAAGUAGAUUUACUUAUGGUUGCGGAUACUUUCAGAAAACAUGCAAAGUACCUAUAUUAUUGCAGAAAUCCAAGUGCUAAAACUUGCAAGAGUUGGACGAUCACGUCCAGUCGUGUUAUAGACUAACUAUCCAACUAUACUAUCGAAUUAUGGACAUAAUGUAAUACUCGUAGGGUAAGUUCAUUUGAAAAGACUAUAUCCGCAGUGUACAGUAAAAACAAGAGUUACUACACCUGAACACAAAGUUAGAGCUACGGCAUAUCAUUGUACAUUUGUUUGUGCUGAAGAUAACGAAUAAAUUGGAAAAUCUGGAAUGCGGAGUUUGUGCAGCAAGCAAUGAAGAAUGCAAACAUACAAUGGCAUUAAUUGGUUUUAAGGUUAUCUAUAUGUAUAGACGUAGUGAAGAUCCCGCUUGUACCGAAGUAGCGUGCUAUUGGAGGAAACCAAAACUGUUGUGCAAGUUGGAUCUCAGCUAAAAUUUAUUAAAGUCAAAGAUGUGAACUAUACAAGGCAGUAUCAAAAAUAUAUGUGUCAGUAGUACUACCACCAUAACCAUCUGACACAAAGAUCAGUCCAUCGGGCUUGAUGAUUUUUUUUGUUCACUUUAAAAAGUUAUUAGUAUACACUUUGUAACUUUCUAUGGAAUCAGUGUACGAUCAUGAAUCGGAAGUAAGGUACAGUCUGUUUUGUCACAGUUAAAACUGGUUUCUAACUCUAUCGAGGGUCGUCAA